CCCGGGAUUGUUGGAGACACAGUACAAGCUCUGGGAAAAUGGGUGAAUUGAAUGGCAUUUUACACAUAAAGAAACCCAAGCACAGAGAGAUUCAGGAAGUUACCCAAUAUCUUCCGGCUUCAUAAGUCAGCAAAGUCAGGGUUUGAAGCCAUGUUCAUCCGACUCUGCACCUGCCCUCUGAGCACAGCAGGAAAAAUGGCUUGACGAAAGUGCCCCAUGAUAUGGAGGGUCACAGGCAGAGGCCCACAGGCAGGAAAGUCACAGGAUGUUCUAUGGCCAGUGAAGAAUUUAGCUCUAGCAGAGAGCUUGUGCAGGGCAGGAAUAGGAAGCUGAGGUUGGCAUGGAAACCUUGACUGCCAUGCUAGGGAGGAGGAACUGCUGGGCUGAAAAGGGCAAUUCGGAGAGACAGAGCGGUACAAAAGGGCACACAUUUGGGGGCUCAGAAGGCAGGCGGCCAAGGCAAGACUCUGGGGAAGCUGACACUCCAGGGAGGAACGAAGACCAUGUGCUUCAGAGAAACAAGCCAAACAUGAUCUUAAGGCUGGAUCACUGGACCUUGCCCUACCUGCUCAUCCUCACCGGGAGAACCUUAGUCACCUCCUGGCUCCUGGAAGGAACACGCCCUCCUGCCCUUGAGGCCAGCCAGAACCCUGCCCUGCCUGGCUCAAAGCUGGAGACCCCUCACCUGGCCUGUGACUUCAAGGCUGGAGACCCCGCAUCUGACCUGCAACAGCUGACAUUUUCCAUGGCUCCCCAUGGCUUUGUGGGUGCUGGAGCACUGGUGUGUAUGACCUCUCUAACCCUCAUGAAUUCCUUGAGGACAGUCACUAGUACUGUCCCCAUUUUACAGAUACGAAGGACUGAGGCAGUGGAAAGCUGGGUAACCUGCCCAUGUGGCCCAGCCAGCAGGGGGCAGCCUCCAGUGGUUAACCACAGCAGUGGGUGCUCCACAGAUGUCUGUAAACUAAUAACGCCAGCCCGUGUCUUCUGUAACAGGAAUUAA
rnacentral:lncRNA from 1 species